rnacentral:rRNA from 1 species
UGGGGAAUAUUGCACAAUGGGCGCAAGCCUGAUGCAGCCAUGCCGCGUGUAUGAAGAAGGCCUUCGGGUUGUAAAGUACUUUCAGCGGGGAGGAAGGUGUUGAGGCUAAUAACCUCAGCAAUUGACGUUACCCGCAGAAGAAGCACCGGCUAACUCCGUGCCAGCAGCCGCGGUAAUACGGAGGGUGCAAGCGUUAAGCGGAAUUACUGGGCGUAAAGCGCACGCAGGCGGUCUGUCAAGUCGGAUGUGAAAUCCCCGGGCUCAACCUGGGAACUGCAUUCGAAACUGGCAGGCUAGAGUCUUGUAGAGGGGGGUAGAAUUCCAGGUGUAGCGGUGAAAUGCGUAGAGAUCUGGAGGAAUACCGGUGGCGAAGGCGGCCCCCUGGACAAAGACUGACGCUCAGGUGCGAAAGCGUGGGGAGCAAACA